rnacentral:rRNA from 1 species
UACAGAGGGUGCGAGCGUUGUCCGGAAUCACUGGGCGUAAAGGGCGCGUAGGCGGCUUUUCAAGUCGGGCGUGAAAUCUCCGGGCUUAACCUGGAAGGGUCGUUCGAUACUGUCGAGCUAGAGUGUGGAAGAGGCUACUGGAAUUCCGUGUGUAGCGGUGAAAUGCGUAGAUAUACGGAGGAACACCAGCGGCGAAGGCGGGUAGUUGGGCCAACACUGACGCUGAUGCGCGAAAGCCAGGGGAGCAAACGGG